UACGGAGGGUGCAAGCGUUAAUCGGAAUUACUGGGCGUAAAGGGCGUGUAGGUGGUUUCGUAAGUCUGGCGUGAAAUUUCUCGGCUUAACCGAGGCAGGUCGUCGGAUACUGCGGAACUAGAGGACGGUAGAGGCGUGUGGAAUUCCGGGUGUAGUGGUGAAAUGCGUAGAGAUCCGGAGGAACACCAGUGGCGAAGGCGACACGCUGGGCCGUACCUGACACUGAGACGCGAAGGCGUGGGGAGCGAACGGG
rnacentral:rRNA from 1 species